UUCCCGGACGAUUACUGAAGUUAAGCGACGUCGAGCUUGGUCAGUAGCUAGAUGGGUGACCGCUUGGGAAUACCAGGUACUGCAGG